rnacentral:ncRNA from 1 species
GCAAAGCCGUCGAAAGACGGUGACGCAGAGCUACGGGACUACGGCGACGCGAGUCGCUAAGUCCGCCGGGCCGCCAGC